rnacentral:misc_RNA from 1 species
GGUUUCCUUUCUCUCUCUCUCUUUAAUGAAAAAAUUAAAAUAAAAUGUCAGUUUUGGUUGAAAGAGUUCCUUCAGGGAGAGAAAAUUAGAACAAUAAAUUGCCAAUUGAAAAAAAAAAUCACCUUUCUUCUAUAUCCUGCAAUUUCUCAGCCGCAAAAGGAAUAGAAGGUAAACCAACAAAAUACGAAUUCAAACGAAAUCGUUAAAAAAUAAGAGAAAAGGAAACGAGGGAUUAAAGUAUACAACUGAGAGAGAGAGAGAUAGAACGACCAAUUAGUACCUGAUAAAGAUCAAGAAUCCAUG